rnacentral:rRNA from 1 species
AUGGAGGAGGAUCAGAAAGCGGGGUAUCUCAUAGGAGGACCCUCAUCCUUCCCCCACUUGGCCACAAACAAGAACGAAAAGAUAGAAAGGAAAAGGCUAAUCAAAUGCAAUCAUCCUGAUAAUUAUAUCACCAACCAGAGCAAUCAGGCAACAAAUGCAGGGCCAGACACGAUUCCUGUCAGCACGAGAAAGUUGGUUUGGUUUGCCACCCACAAGUACAGUCCAGUAGAGCCCCCACUCGGGACGAUUAUUAUUCUACCUCCACAGCUGACCGCACAAGCAGCCGCAAAACCAGUGGCAAUGCGAUGCAAUUACUUGCUAAAAAGGUCUGAUUCCCUUCUAAACUACAAGCUGCUGGGUGCAUCGGCACCUGAAUUUUGCAAACAAUGGUAUGAUAUGACAAUAAGUAUGAGCAAGUAUGAGUCGCAGGAUACUAGGAUGCAAGACAGAGACCUAGCAAGGAGCAGUCACAAUUCAAAGAUGACAGGAUGGGCAAAUACUUCUUCUGUGUGCUUAUUUUUGUCCAUUCAUCAAUUCCAUCCAUGGUGA